AUUGAACGCUAGCGGGAUGCCUUACACAUGCAAGUCGAACGGCGUGGCGAACGGGUGAGUAAUGUAUCUGAACGUGCCCAGUAGCGGGGGAUAACUACGCGAAAGCGUAACUAAUACCGCUUACUCUUGGAGCGGCCUGUAUCGGAUUAGCUAGUUGGUGGGGUAAGGGCUCCCCAAGGCGACGAUCCGUAGCUGGUUUGAGAGGACGACCAGCCACACUGGGACUGAGACACGGCCCAGACUCCUACGGGAGGCAGCAGUGGGGAAUUUUGGACAAUGGGGGAAACCCUGAUGCAGCCAUCCCGCGUGUGUGAAGAAGGCCUUCGGGUUGUAAAGCACUUUUGGCAGGAAAGCGGUACCUGCAGAAUAAGCACCGGCUAACUACGUGCCAGCCGCCGCGGUAAUUC
rnacentral:rRNA from 1 species